UACGUAGGUGGCAAGCGUUGUCCGGAAUUACUGGGCGUAAAGGGUGCGUAGGCGGAUAUUUAAGUGGGAUGUGAAAUACCUGAGCUCAACUCGGGUGCUGCAUUCCAAACUGGAUAUCUAGAGUGCAGGAGAGGAGAAUGGAAUUCCUAGUGUAGCGGUGAAAUGCGUAGAGAUUAGGAAGAACACCAGUGGCGAAGGCGAUUCUCUGGACUGUAACUGACGCUGAGGCACGAAAGCGUGGGUAGCAAAC
rnacentral:rRNA from 1 species